rnacentral:rRNA from 1 species
UUCCAGCUCCAAUAGCGUGUAUUAAAGUUGUUGCAGUUAAAAAGCUCGUAGUUGGAUUUCUGGCAGGAGCGACCGGUCACACACUCUGUGUGUGAACUUGCGUUGUCUCUGGCCAUCCUCGGGGAGAUCCUGUUUGGCAUUAAGUUGUCGGGCAGGGGAUACCCGUCGUUUACUGUGAAAAAAUUAGAGUGUUUAAAGCAGGCUUAUGCCGUUGAAUAUAUUAGCAUGGAAUAAUAAGAUAGGACUUCGGAACUAUUUUGUUGGUUUGCGUUACGAAGUAAUGAUUAAUAGGGACAGUUGGGGGUAUUCGUAUUUCGUUGUCAGAGGUGAAAUUCUUGGAUUUCCGAAAGACGAACUACUGCGAAAGCAUUUACCAAGGAUGUUUUCAUCA